rnacentral:rRNA from 1 species
GAUGAACGCUGGCGGCGUGCCUAAUACAUGCAAGUAGAACGCUGAAGGAAGGAGCUUGCUCUUUCCGGAUGAGUUGCGGACGGGUGAGUAACGCGUAGGUAACCUGCCUGGUAGCGGGGGAUAACUAUUGGAAACGAUAGCUAAUACCGCAUAACAGUAGAUAUUGCAUGAUAUCUACUUAAAAGGUGCAAUUGCACCACUACCAGAUUGACCUGCGUUGUAUUAGCUAGUUGGUGAGGUAACGGCUCACCAAGGCGACGAUACAUAGCCGACCUGAGAGGGUGAUCGGCCAAACUGGGAACGAGAAAAGGGCCAGGAUCCUACGGGAGGCAGCAGUAGGGAAUCUUCCGGAAUGGGCGGAAGUCUGAACGGGCCAAGCCGCGUGAGUGAAGAAGGUUUUCGGAUCGUAAAGCUCUGUUGUAAAAGAAGAACGAGUGUGAGAGUGGAAAGUUCACACUGUGACGGUAUCUUAUCAGAAAGGGACGGCUAACUACGUG